CAAUAAGCGGAGGAAAAGAAACCAACAGGGAUUGCCCUAGUAACGGCGAGUGAAGCGGCAACAGCUCAAAUUUGAAAUCUGGCUCUCUUUGGGGGUCCGAGUUGUAAUUUGCAGAGGAUGCUUUGGCAUUGGCGGCGGUCUAAGUUCCUUGGAACAGGACAUCGCAGAGGGUGAGAAUCCCGUACGUGGGCGCCUGCCUUUGCCGUGUAAAGCUCCUUCGACGAGUCGAGUUGUUUGGGAAUGCAGCUCUAAAUGGGAGGUAAAUUUCUUCUAAAGCUAAAUACCGGCCAGAGACCGAUAGCGCACAAGUAGAGUGAUCGAAAGAUGAAAAGUACUUUGGAAAGAGAGUCAAAAAGCACGUGAAAUUGUUGAAAGGGAAGCGCUUGCAGCCAGACUUGCCCGCAGUUGCUCACCUAGGCUUUGGCCUGGGGCACUCUUCUGCGGGCAGGCCAGCAUCAGUUUGGGCGGUCGGACAAAGGCCUCUGUCAAGUAUCUCCCUUCGGGGUGACCUUAUAGGGGAGGCGUAAUGCGACCAGCCCGGACUGAGGUCCGCGCAUCUGCUAGGAUGCUGGCGUAAUGGCUGUAAGCGGCCCGUCUUGAAACACGGACCAAGGAGUCUAACAUCUAUGCGAGUGUUUGGGUGUCAAGCCCGGGCGCGCAAUGAAAGUGAACGGAGGUGGGAACCCUUUGGGUGCACCAUCGACCGAUCCUGAUGUCUUCGGAUGGAUUUGAGUAAGAGCAUAGCUGUUGGGACCCGAAAGAUGGUGAACUAUGCUUGAAUAGGGUGAAGCCAGAGGAAACUCUGGUGGAGGCUCGCAGCGGUUCUGACGUGCAAAUCGAUCGUCAAAUUUGGGCAUAGGGGCGAAAGACUAAUCGAACCAUCUAGUAGCUGGUUCCUGCCGA
rnacentral:rRNA from 1 species